GAUGAACGCUGGCGGCGUGCCUAAUACAUGCAAGUCGAGCGAACAGACGAGGAGCUUGCUCCUCUGACGUUAGCGGCGGACGGGUGAGUAACACGUGGAUAACCUACCUAUAAGACUGGGAUAACUUCGGGAAACCGGAUCUAAUACCGUAUAAUAUAUUGAACCGCAUGGUUCAAUAGUGAAAGACGGUGUUGCUGUCACUUAUAGAGGGAUCCGCGCCGCAUUAGCUAGUUGGUAAGGUAACGGCUUACCAAGGCAACGAUGCGUAGCCGACCUGAGAGGCGGAUAGCCGACACUGGAACUGAGACGCGGUCCAGACUCCUACGGGAGGCAGCAGUAGGGAAUCUUCCGCAAUGGGCGAAAGCCUGACGGAGCAAGGCCGAGUGAGUGAUGAAGGUCUUCGGAUCGUAAAACUCUGUUAUUAGGGAAGAACAAAUGUGUAAGUAACUAUGCACGUCUUGACGGUACCUAGUCAGAAAGCCACGGCUAACUACGUG
rnacentral:rRNA from 1 species